rnacentral:rRNA from 1 species
AGUCGAGGGGUAGAAGGUGCUUGCACCUUUGAGACCGGCGCACGGGUGCGUAACGCGUAUGCAAUCUACCUUAUACUAAGGGAUAGCCCAGAGAAAUUUGGAUUAAUACCUUAUGGUUUAUUGAAAUGGCAUCAUUUAAAUAAUAAAGAUUUAUUGGUAUAAGAUGAGCAUGCGUCCCAUUAGUUAGUUGGUAAGGUAACGGCUUACCAAGACGAUGAUGGGUAGGGGCCCUGAGAGGGAGAUCCCCCACACUGGUACUGAGACACGGACCAGACUCCUACGGGAGGCAGCAGUGAGGAAUAUUGGUCAAUGGACGCAAGUCUGAACCAGCCAUGCCGCGUGUAGGAUGAAGCAUCUAUGGUGUGUAAACUACUUUUGUACGGGAAGAAACACCUCUUCGAGAAGAGACUUGACGGUACCGUAAGAAUAAGGAUCGGCUAACUCCGUGCCAGCAGCCGCGGUAAUACGGAGGAUCCAAGCGUUAUCCGGAAUCAUUGGGUUUAAAGGGUCCGUAGGCGGCCUUAUAAGUCAGCGGUGAAAGUUUUUGGCUUAACCAAAAAAUUGCCGUUGAUACUGUAGGGCUUGAAUUUUUGUGAAGUAACUAGAAUAUGUAGUGUAGCGGUGAAAUGCUUAGAUAUUACAUGGAAUACCAAUUGCGAAGGCAGGUUACUAACAAACGAUUGACGCUGAUGGACGAAAGCGUGGGUAGCGAACAGGAUUAGAUACCCUGGUAGUCCACGCCGUANACGAUGGAUACUAGCUGU